CCAGACUCCUACGGGAGGCAGCAGUGGGGAAUAUUGCACAAUGGGCGGAAGCCUGAUGCAGCAACGCCGCGUGCGGGAUGACGGCCUUCGGGUUGUAAACCGCUUUCGCCUGUGACGAAGCGUGAGUGACGGUAAUGGGUAAAGAAGCACCGGCUAACUACGUGCCAGCAGCCGCGGUGAUACGUAGGGUGCGAGCGUUGUCCGGAUUUAUUGGGCGUAAAGGGCUCGUAGGUGGUUGAUCGCGUCGGAAGUGUAAUCUUGGGGCUUAACCCUGAGCGUGCUUUCGAUACGGGUUGACUUGAGGAAGGUAGGGGAGAAUGGAAUUCCUGGUGGAGCGGUGGAAUGCGCAGAUAUCAGGAGGAACACCAGUGGCGAAGGCGGUUCUCUGGGCCUUUCCUGACGCUGAGGAGCGAAAGCGUGGGGAGCGAACAGGCUUAGAUACCCUGGUAGUCCACGCUGUAAACGGUGGGUACUAGGUGUGGGGUCCAUUCCACGGGUUCCGUGCCGUAGCUAACGCUUUAAGUACCCCGCCUGGGGAGUACGGCCGCAAGGCUAAAACUC
rnacentral:rRNA from 1 species